rnacentral:rRNA from 1 species
UGCCAGCCGCCGCGGUAACACGGGGGGCGCAAGCGUUAUUCGGAAUUAUUGGGCGUAAAGGGCGCGCAGGCGGUCUUGUCAGUCAGAUGUGAAAGCCCGGGGCUCAACCCUGGAAGUGCAUUUGAAACUGGCGAACUUGAGUACGGGAGAGGAAAGUGGAAUUCCGAGUGUAGGGGUGAAAUCCGUAGAUAUUAGGAAGAACACCAGUGGCGAAGGCGACUUUCUGGCUCGUAACUGACGCUGAGGCACGAAAGCGUGGGGAGCAAACAGGAUUAGAUA